CAGGUCGUCCCGGCCUUCCAGCCAUGAGAGGUCGAGCUCGGCUCGUCAGUCUAUACAAGCCCCCCGGCCUCAAGGUACUUCUAACGAGGGGACGGAAGAGGGUCCCACGAUUAUCUCUGAAGUGGCUGAGGGUGUUGGAUCGGUAAGGUCGGACCUUGUCCUUCCUACUGUGGACGCUUCUGGGGUCUCCGCUGCUGUUGAAGAGGAGGUCCCCGGGGAGAGGCUCGAGGUCCCUAUUACGGAAGAGGGAGCUCCAGGGAAGAGAGAAGAGGUUAUUCUAGUGGACGAGGAUGACUCGGAGGCUCCCACCAAUGAUGCUCUUGCCCCUGAAGAGGUGGGGUCUGACCCUGCCAAGGACGG
rnacentral:lncRNA from 1 species